rnacentral:rRNA from 1 species
AUUCCAGCUCCAAGAGCGUAUAUUAAAGUUGCUGCGGUUAAAAAGCUCGUAGUUGGAUUUCAGUCUAGGAAGGUUAACUCGCCGAAAGGUUGUACGUUGAUUUUCCUCAGACUUCGUCAGAAGCUCGUGCUGCACUUAACUGUGUGGUACGAUGUUCUGACCUUCUACCUUGAGGAAAGUAGAGUGUUUCAGGCAGGCUACCCAGCUUGAAUACAUUAGCAUGGAAUAAUGAAAUGGAUCUCGGUUCGAUUUCGUUGGUUCUAGAGCUGAGGUGAUGAUCAAUAGGAACAGGCGAAGGUAUUCGUACUUGAGAGUGAGGAGUGAAAUCCGAUGAUCUCUUAAAGACGAUCCGAGGCGAAAGCAUUUGUCAAGGAUGUUUUCAUUA